AGUGAACGCUGGCGGUAGGCCUAACACAUGCAAGUCGAACGGCAGCACAGUAAGAGCUUGCUCUUACGGGUGGCGAGUGGCGGACGGGUGAGGAAUACAUCGGAAUCUACUUUUUCGUGGGGGAUAACGUAGGGAAACUUACGCUAAUACCGCAUACGACCUACGGGUGAAAGCAGGGGAUCUUCGGACCUUGCGCGAUUGAAUGAGCCGAUGUCGGAUUAGCUAGUUGGCGGGGUAAAGGCCCACCAAGGCGACGAUCCGUAGCUGGUCUGAGAGGAUGAUCGGCCACACGAGAACUGAGACACGGUCCAGACUCCUACGGGAGGCAGCAGUGGGGAAUAUUGUACAAUGGGCGCAAGCCUGAUCCAGCCAUACCGCGUGGGUGAAGAAGGCCUUCGGGUUGUAAAGCCCUUUUGUUGGGAAAGAAAGGCUGUAGGUUAAUAUCUAGCUGUUCUGAAGGCACCCAAAGAAUAAGCACCGGCUAACUUCGUG
rnacentral:rRNA from 1 species